AUUGAACGCUGGCGGCAGGCCUAACACAUGCAAGUCGAGCGAGCGGCGGACGGGGGAGUAAUGUCUGGGAAACUGCCCGAUGGAGGGGGGUAACUACUGGAAACAGUAGCUAAUACCGCAUACCAUCAGAUGUGCCCAGAUGGGCUUAGCUAGUAGGUGGGGUAACGGCUCACCUAGGCGACGAUCCCUAGCUGGUUUGAGAGGAGGACCAGCCACACUGGAACUGAGACACGGUCCAGACUCCUACGGGAGGCAGCAGUGGGGAAUAUUGCACAAUGGGCGCAAUCCUGAUGCAGCCAUGCCGCGUGUGUGAAGAAGGCCUUCGGGUUGUAAAGCACUUUCAGCGGGGAGGCGUUACCCGCAGAAGAAGCACCGGCUAACUCCGUGCCAGCAGCCGCGGUAAUUC
rnacentral:rRNA from 1 species